rnacentral:lncRNA from 1 species
CCCAAAUUUCAUUUUGAAUUGUAAUCCCUGUGUCUCAAGGGAGGAUCCUGGUGGGAGGUGAUUGAAUUAUGGGAGUGGUUUACCCUAUUCUGUUCUACUAAUAGUGAGUGAGUCUCAGGAGAUCUGAUGGUUUUAAAAGUGGCAGUUUUUCUUGUGCACGCUCUCUCUCUCACCUGCCGGCAUGUAAGAAGUGCCUUACAUCUUGAUUUUUUUUUCUUCCUUGGUGGACUUUUUAUAGCCUACGAGGAGCUGGUGGGCUUUGAAUUUUCAAGCUAUGCCCACAAUCAUUGUUAUCACUGCAAUAAGAGUUGCAAAAGUUGGACACAUGGAUGAGACAGAGAUCUGAUUAAUGAAAAUAACUUUAUUUUAGAGGGAAGUGGACUGUAAAUGGAAUUCUAAAAAUUCCAUCCUACCUUCCAGGAGAUGUGGGUUACCUCUAAACUUAAGCAAAACUCCACUACAGACCUGGAUGUGGUCGUGCCUGUGGAGGCAGAAGGGCUGUGGGGAGUUUUCAUUCAGCAGCCUAGUCUGGGGAAAGAUGAAGAUUCAAUAAAGAAUGUGUAUACCAUAUUGGAUACUUCAGCUCAACUGUGUAGGCUGAGGAGGAGGAGAAAAAGGAAUGCAUCUAGAUGUCUCCGAGGUGGCAAAGGCUGA